GUCAGAUUGAUAGCCAUUUUCAAAAUGAAAAAUCCGAGAAAAAAUCAUUUGUGAUUCGCUUGUGUGGAAAUGUGCGCGUUUUUAGUGACCGGAAUCUUGCAGGAACCUGAAGUGUGGCGACGAAACAGGUACAAGACGACUUCACUGCGCUGCGUCCGAUGCUGCUUUUUGUGCUGUAUAUGGCACUCAACGAGAAUGAAAAUCGUACACGUGUGACUCUUCCAAAAUUGGAUUUUGUUUUUUUGAUUGUUUCUAAAGUUGAAUUUAAAUAAAAUGCUUAAAUGAAAAUAAAAA